rnacentral:rRNA from 1 species
UACAGAGGUCCCAAGCGUUGUUCGGAUUCACUGGGCGUAAAGGGCGCGUAGGCGGCCUUCUAAGUCGAACGUGAAAUCCCCGGGCUCAACCCGGGAACUGCGUCCGAGACUGAAAGGCUUGAAUCCGGGAGAGGGAUGUGGAAUUCCAGGUGUAGCGGUGAAAUGCGUAGAUAUCUGGAGGAACAUCGGUGGCGAAGGCGGCAUCCUGGACCGGUAUUGACGCUGAGGCGCGAAAGCCAGGGGAGCAAACGGG